rnacentral:rRNA from 1 species
AACGAACGCUGGUGGCGGGCCUAAUACAUGCAAGUCGAACGAGAAAGCUCUUCGGAGUGAGUAGAGUGGCGCACGGGUGAGUAACGCGUAGGUGAUCUACCCUUUUGUUUGGGACAACCCGAGGAAACUCUGGCUAAUACCGAAUAAUCUGAAUAACUUUGAAAGGAAUUUAGGAAAGGCGGCUUCGGCUGUCGCAGAAGGAAGAGCUUGCGUAUCAUUAGCUUGUUGGUGGGGUAAUGGCCUACCAAGGCUACGAUGGUUAACUGGUCUGAGAGGAUGAUCAGUCACACUGGAACUGAGACACGGUCCAG